UUGCACGCUGGCGGCAGGCCUCACACCUGCCAGUCGAGCGGAUGAAGGGAGCUUGCUCCUGGAUUCAGCGGCGGACGGGUGAGUAAUGCCUAGGAAUCUGCCUGGUAGUGGGGGAUAACGUCCGGAAACGGGCGCUAAUACCGCAUGCGUCCUGAGGGAGAAAGUGGGGGAUCUUCGGACCUCACGCUAUCAGAUGAGCCUAGGUCGGAUUAGCUAGUUGGUGGGGUAAAGGCCUACCAAGGCGACGAUCCGUAACUGGUCUGAGAGGAUGAUCAGUCACACUGGAACUGAGACACGGUCCAGACUCCUACGGGAGGCAGCAGUGGGGAAUAUUGGACAAUGGGCGAAAGCCUGAUCCAGCCAUGCCGCGUGUGUGAAGAAGGUCUUCGGAUUGUAAAGCACUUUAAGUUGGGAGGAAGGGCAGUAAGUUAAUACCUUGCUGUUUUGACGUUACCAACAGAAUAAGCACCGGCUAACUUCGUG
rnacentral:rRNA from 1 species